UUUAAUUGAAACCAAAAAGAGGUACAUCACUGUUAAUGAUGAAAUUGAGAUACAACUCCAAUUAA
rnacentral:tRNA from 1 species